rnacentral:rRNA from 1 species
AUUGAACGCUGGCGGCAGGCCUAACACAUGCAAGUCGAGCGGAUGAAGGGAGCUUGCUCCUGGAUUCAGCGGCGGACGGGUGAGUAAUGCCUAGGAAUCUGCCUGGUAGUGGGGGAUAACGUCCGGAAACGGGCGCUAAUACCGCAUACGUCCUGAGGGAGAAAGUGGGGGAUCUUCGGACCUCACGCUAUCAGAUGAGCCUAGGUCGGAUUAGCUAGUUGGUGGGGUAAAGGCCUACCAAGGCGACGAUCCGUAACUGGUCUGAGGGGAUGAUCAGUCAACUGGAAAUGGGAACAGGGUCAGAAUCCCAAGGGGGGGAAGAGUGGGGAAAAUUUGGAAAAGGGGGAAAGCCCUAAUCCGCCCAGCCCGGGGGGGGAAGAAAGUUUUUGGAUUGUAAAAGCAUUUUAAGUUGGAAGAAAGGGAAUUAAAUUAAAACCUUGCUUUUUGAAGGUAACCAACAAAAAAGCCACGGCUAAAUUCGGG